GCAAAAUGACCCAUUGAGCUUCACUGAUGACGCAAGUUCAGUAGGGACACCUGGGCCAUCCGUUCAGUCAUCCAGGCUGUUGUCUGUAGGCACUUCCCCG